rnacentral:rRNA from 1 species
UACGUAGGGUGCGAGCGUUAAUCGGAAUUACUGGGCGUAAAGCGUGCGCAGGCGGUUCGUGAUGUCUGGUGUGAAAGCCCCGGGCUUAACCUGGGAAUUGCAUUGGAAACUAGCGGGCUGGAGUGUGGCAGAGGGGGGUGGAAUUCCACGUGUAGCAGUGAAAUGCGUAGAGAUGUGGAGGAACACCAGCGGCGAAGGCGACUACCUGGCCUGUUCUUGACGCUGAGGCGCGAAAGCUAGGGGAGCAAACGGG